rnacentral:rRNA from 1 species
GCCUACGGGGGGCAGCAGUAGGGAAUCUUCCACAAUGGGCGAAAGCCUGAUGGAGCAACGCCGCGUGGGUGAAGAAGGUCUUCGGAUCGUAAAACCCUGUUGUUAGAGAAGAAAGUGCGUGAGAGUAACUGUUCACGUUUCGACGGUAUCUAACCAGAAAGCCACGGCUAACUACGUGCCAGCAGCCGCGGUAAUACGUAGGUGGCAAGCGUUAUCCGGAUUUAUUGGGCGUAAGGAGAACGCAGGCGGUCUUUUAAGUCUGAUGUGAAAGCCUUCGGCUUGACCGGAGUAGUGCAUUGGAAACU